ensembl:lncRNA
UUUCUCUCUUCCAUAAAAGAAUAAGAGAAUGGGAUCUGUCUCUGUAUGUCUCUCCGGCACUCUGAUUGCCAGGUGAGUAAGUCACCCUGUUAAAUAGAACAUCUGUUUGCCACGUGUCAGCUGUGAAAACAACAGCUGGCUAAAUCCUAAAAACAAAAAAGCAAAGGACCCAAUGAGAAUUGCACACAUGAGAUAGAAUAGUCACAUUUUAAAAACUAGGUCAACCUGUCCAUAUAUUCAUACGCAUUAUGCCGAUAGUGACAGAUUAAAGGAAAAUGUUCAUGCCUUAUACACAUUUUUAAUACAUUUUCCCUUUAGAGCAGAGAUGUCAAACUCAUAUUACAUCAUGGGCCACAUAAGCCCAAUUUGAUCUUAAGUGGGCCUUUAUGUCAGUGUAAAUAAGUUUAACUGCACAUUUAAGCCCUGAGACAUCUUAAUAUAAGAAAAGAAGUGCAGUUUCAACAGAUAAAGGAAUCUUGCUCUAAUAAAUUAAAUAAGUCUUUCGGCACAACUCUUUGGGCACAAAAUAUAAGAAAUGAAUGUGUAAAAUUACAGAAGUUUUGUUGGCUUGUUGCCCAGACUGACCUGCAAUUAUAAAAUAAAUAUUUUAAAAGUUAUUCCUGUUAAUACACAGAAAAUGUCCUAUUUGUUUCCGCUGUGGAUUGAUUAAAAAAAUCUAUAGUAGAUAUUGAAAAAAAAAAAAAAAACAGGAGCUUUUCUGUCAUUUAUUAAUUAAUCUAUUACUUUAUUACUUUGGCUCAGUAUGAAAAGCCACUGGGGAGGACUUUGUCAGUAAGAAAAUCUGUAAAUGUUGUGAAAAAUCCGCUAAAAGUGCAAAAUUUAUGAUCUCCUUCACAUUUUCAUAUUCUUUAAGAGGCCAGCGCUGUGCAGCCUGACUCGUAUUCAUUAGAUAACACCUGAGUGGUGCCCUGUUCUCUUCACAGAUAAUUCAUGCUUUGGUACUCAGUAUAAUUUAACCGCACCCUUUAAUGUAAUAGGUACUUUAGAAAGAAAUCAUUCUGACUCAGACACAAAGUUGCUUCUGACUUGUUCCCUAAUCUCUUAUCUACACGUUUUCCCUGAUGUUCAUGAUAUAAGUAUCCUGUAUAACUCAAAAAGACUGUUAUCUAAAAAAUUACUUCAUACUUUUGACAGCAAAGUUAGGACGAUUAUAAUGUGACAAAAAUAAAAAAAAGUUAUCCACAAAAAGAAGAGUACUCUCCUAUAUGGCACGUUAUUAACCAAACAACAGAAUAGCGGUGAGAGAACUUAAUAGAUCUGGAUUUGGCUUCGGAGUUCUCCGAAAAGACACACAUCAUUGUACAGUUCUCGUAACUGACUCUAGAUUUCUCAAACGUGGUUUGAUUUGGUGUGUACUGGUUGCUGUGUUGCCAAAAUGCUAAAACCCACAUUUAGUUUCAUGUUCAUUUUAAUGCCUGAAGCUGGAAUCAGACAUUGACUUUGUUUAAACAAAAAAAAUUGACCUACAAUAACUGCAUGUGGGUGUAGAGUAGACCUAAAAAAAAUUAGAUUUUUCUUUGGAGGAACAUUG